CAGUCGCCGCGGUAAUACGUAGGUGGCAAGCGUUGUCCGGAAUUAUUGGGCGUAAAGGGCUCGCAGGCGGUUUCUUAAGUCUGAUGUGAAAGCCCCCGGCUCAACCGGGGAGGGUCAUUGGAAACUGGGAAACUUGAGUGCAGAAGAGGAGAGUGGAAUUCCACGUGUAGCGGUGAAAUGCGUAGAGAUGUGAAGGAACACCAGUGGCGAAGGCGACUCUCUGGUCUGUAACUGACGCCGAGGAGCGAAAGCGUGGGGAGCGAACAGGAUUAGAUACCCCCGUAGUCCCUGUCUCUUAUAC
rnacentral:rRNA from 1 species